CCUCCCUCUCCCUGCCUCCCUUCGCCUACCCCACGAACUACUUCAUCCCUCUGGGCCGGCACUGUAGAAGCCCCAUUGUUCACAUCGACCUCCCAAUUAUCUCCUCUUUCCCUCUCCCUCUGCUCCUGCCCAGACCAGCCCCCCAGCAUUGACCUGGAUGCCUGCCACAGCCUCCUCCCUGGUCUCCGGCCUCCCACCUCUGCUCCUCGGUCUCCUCUACCCAGCCAGUAACUGCAGAGAGCACUAAAGCACAGUCCUGGCAUCUCACCCCCUUAACCCUGGCCACGGCUUCCCAGUGCCUCCAAGAUAAAGCACCAACACCUGAGGACAGCAGCUUGUUUUGAGAGUCCCCUCCAUUGAAACACGCACAUCUAAUUUGUCCUUCAGUUCGCUGGACUCCACGCUGAACGUGCCA
rnacentral:lncRNA from 1 species